UACGUAGGGAGCAAGCGUUGUCCGGAAUUACUGGGUGUAAAGGGAGCGUAGGCGGGAUGGCAAGUUGGGUGUUAAAUCUACCGGCUCAACUGGUAGUCGCACUCAAAACUGCUAUUCUUGAGUUAAGUAGAGGCAGGCGGAAUUCCUAGUGUAGCGGUGAAAUGCGUAGAUAUUAGGAGGAACACCAGUGGCGAAGGCGGCCUGCUGGGCUUUUACUGACGCUGAGGCUCGAAAGUGUGGGGAGCAAACAGG
rnacentral:rRNA from 1 species